UAGAAAGCACUAGAGGGAAUUAGAUGUUAC
rnacentral:piRNA from 1 species